rnacentral:miRNA from 1 species
CUCUUAGAAUCUUUCUGGUCAG